rnacentral:lncRNA from 1 species
AAACGCAUUAAAUAUUAGAGGAAAACAACGACACAACAUUAAAAUGUAACACACACAGCAACGGACUAAGCAUUAGACAAAAUCCGAUGAGAAUAACCAAUAUAACAUCAAAACCAAAUACAUGAAUUUGGGAUAGAAAAGUAAUGUGACACAUCUUUUAUCAAUGUGAAUUCACACUCAAAUAUAGGAGAAAACAAACGACACAACGGAAACACAACGUAAAAAUGUUACACACACA